rnacentral:misc_RNA from 1 species
AGGAACGUGCGGAGAAGUCGCCAACCGCGUUCUCGCUGGAGAAUUCGGAACCGGCUGCGCUCGCCCAAAGGACAUAACGUAUGGAUGCCUUGCCUUAAAACUGCACGUUGCUCGCAGCAAGAGGAACACGGCAGGCAGGGAGAGACCCGCGCCGCGCCCCACUUGGAGCUUCCGCCCAAGCACAAGGCUCAGCGAACGGCGCACGAGCCAGGAGCUUGAAAACGAACUCGAGAGCCUACGCCUUAUGAGCCUCCCGUCCCCUAGCAGCCAGAGGCAAUCGGGCUUUUGCCGCAAUUAGCGGGCGUAGCUUGCUGACGGCGGCAGCGGAGCUCUGAAACGCCGGAAGCCCGCGUCGAAGGAGCACGCUGCAGCCGCAGACACUCCUUACGAU